rnacentral:rRNA from 1 species
GACGAACGCUGGCGGCGUGCUUAACACAUGCAAGUCGAACGGAAAGGCCCUGCUUUUGUGGGGUGCUCGAGUGGCGAACGGGUGAGUAACACGUGAGUAACCUGCCCUUGACUUUGGGAUAACUUCAGGAAACUGGGGCUAAUACCGGCUAGGAGCUCCUGCUGCAUGGUGGGGGUUGGAAAGUUUCGGCGGUUGGGGAUAGACUCGCGGCUUAUCAGCUUGUUGGUGGGGUAGUGGCUUACCAAGGCUUUGACGGGUAGCCGGCCUGAGAGGGUAACCGGCCACAUUGGGACUGAGAUACGGCCCAGACUCCUACGGGAGGCAGCAGUGGGGAAUAUUGCACAAUGGGCGGAAGCCUGAUGCAGCAACGCCGCGUGCGGGAUGACGGCCUUCGGGUUGUAAACCGCUUUCGCCUGUGACGAAGCGUGAGUGACGGUAAUGGGUAAAGAAGCACCGGCUAACUACGUG